rnacentral:rRNA from 1 species
GGUUGAUCCUGCCAGUAGUCAUAUGCUUGUCCUAAAGAUUAAGCCAUGCAUGUCUAAGUAUAAACCACUUUAUACGGUGAAACUGCGAAUGGCUCAUUAAAUCAGUUAUAAUUUAUUUGAUGGUCUCUUUACUACUUGGAUAACCGUGGUAAUUCUAGAGCUAAUACAUGCAAAAGAUCCGACUUUUUGGGGGAGGAUUGUAUUUAUUAGAUUAAAACCAAAGGGGUGGUAGUAAAAUACCGCCUGUGUGGUGAGUCAUGAUAACUUUGCGGAUCGUAUGGCCGUGAGCUGA